rnacentral:rRNA from 1 species
GAUGAACGCUGACGGAAUGCUUAACACAUGCAAGUCAACUUGAAUUUGGGUUUUUAACUUAGGUUUGGGUGGCGGACGGGUGAGUAACGCGUAAAGAACUUGCCUCACAGCUAGGGACAACAUUUGGAAACGAAUGCUAAUACCUAAUAUUAUGAUAAUAGGGCAUCCUAUAAUUAUGAAAGCUAUAAGCGCUGUGAGAGAGCUUUGCGUCCCAUUAGCUAGUUGGAGAGGUAACGGCUCACCAAGGCGAUGAUGGGUAGCCGGCCUGAGAGGGUGAUCGGCCACAAGGGGACUGAGACACGGCCCUUACUCCUACGGGAGGCAGCAGUGGGGAAUAUUGGACAAUGGACCGAGAGUCUGAUCCAGCAAUUCUGUGUGCACGAUGAAGUUUUUCGGAAUGUAAAGUGCUUUCAGUUGGGAAGAAACAAAUGACGGUACCAACAGAAGAAGUGACGGCUAAAUACGUG